CUUUUGAAUAAUGUGCUUUAGAAAAGAGGCCUCAAUGUUAAAAUACUUUCACACUUUUUGAGAAAAGAUCUAAUUAGAAUAUGAAAGAAAUUGCCAUUGCGGGGAAAAUGGUCUGAAAUCAUGGUAACACUUCUUUUCUCUCUUUUUAAAAAUCAGAUCUUUGGCGUUGCCAGUUCCUUUUACCUUUUGUGAGUUUAGGUUUGAUGUGCUUUGGGGCUUUGAUCGGACUUUGUGCUUGCAUUUGCCGAAGCUUAUAUCCCACCAUUGCCACGGGCAUUCUCCAUCUCCUUGCAGGUCUGUGUACACUGGGCUCAGUAAGUUGUUAUGUUGCUGGAAUUGAACUACUCCACCAGAAACUAGAGCUCCCUGACAGUGUAUCCGGUGAAUUUGGAUGGUCCUUCUGCCUGGCUUGUGUCUCAGCUCCCUUACAGUUCAUGGCUUCUGCUCUCUUCAUCUGGGCUGCUCACACCAACCGGAAAGAGUACACCUUAAUGAAGGCAUAUCGUGUGGCAUGAGCAAG
rnacentral:sRNA from 1 species